GGCAUAUUCUGGUUUUGAUCUGACAUGUUCCGGCAUGUUCCAAGCCCACCCACCUGUCAACACUGAUUGCAGCCUAUGUUCUCAGUUUAGAUUCUUCGUGCAACGUCCAUACAAUAUGACCGAAUAUAAAUUAGUCGUCGUCGGCGCUGGAGGCGUGGGGAAGAGUGCCCUGACAAUUCAGUUGAUCCAAAAUCACUUCGUGGAUGAAUACGACCCAACCAUCGAGGACUCCUACCGGAAACAAGUGGUCAUCGAUGGUGAGACGUGUCUGUUGGAUAUUCUGGACACAGCCGGCCAAGAGGAAUACAGCGCCAUGCGGGACCAAUACAUGAGAACAGGCGAGGGAUUCCUCCUUGUGUUCGCCGUGAAUAAUGCCAAAUCCUUUGAAGAUAUUUCCACAUACCGAGAGCAGAUCAAGAGGGUCAAGGACGCAGAAGAGGUUCCCAUGGUUUUGGUGGGCAACAAAUGCGACCUUCCUACCCGAAACGUAGACAUGGGUCAAGCCAAAGAAGUGGCCAAGAGCUACGGAAUCCCAUUCAUUGAAACCAGCGCUAAAACGCGAAUGGGCGUAGACGAUGCUUUUUACACCUUGGUUAGGGAAAUCCGGAAAGAUCGUCUUUCGGGUGUUAAAACCAAAAAGAAAAAGAAAUGCAUCCUAAUGUAAGGGGUGUGGCGGCCCCAAAAAGUGCGUCAUGUCUCCUCAACCCUAGGAAUGAAUUCCGUUAGAUCCCGAGUGAAAGAGAAGAAAGGCAAUCAUCCUCGCCCUCAGAUUGGUGCAAAAUGCUGCAGUAGAUGUCUCCUACUCUAAAUCAACAGCCUCAAUCAGCAUCAUUGGCAUCAACCAUUAAUCUAUACUUAUAUACAUAAUCGAAUCGUGAUUGGUGACUUAAAGGACCGAACAUAAAGACUUAUCAACUUCGAACAGAUGACCGGCGUUCUUGCGAAAACAUUGAUUGACUUCGUCCAUUUCCAAACGGGUAAUCCACAAACCCGUUCAAAUAUCCCUCAAAUCAACACCCCCUGCCCCAACCACCUCGCCCCGCCCUGCCCUCCCCUGAGGUACUUCGAGCCUCACACCCUGCCCCCUUUUGAUCUUUGUUUUCCAUUGGAUCCCCAUGGACGAAAUGGAGGUCGCAAGCUAAAACGUUCAAAACAGUUCAGUCGCUGUGCUCGUGUUUUCCAAGUCACCAAACCUCAGUUGUUCAUUGCCCAUCGAUCGUGUUUCGCCCAAGAAUGUCAAUGUGUGAGAAAAAAGGCUUGACGCCCACAAAGUCUUCUACAGAUAGUGAUGAUGUUAAAAAUACUAGAGGCAGUGCUCUGUCUUUCGUCGUCAAGCAUUUUAGUGGGUGAUCAUGAAAGGAUCAUAAGAAUAAGAUUACAUCUUAAUAAUUAUCUGUGAGUAAAAUGAACGAUCAAUCGGUUCGCAAUGAAAAUGGAAAUGAAAGUUUAGGCUUUACUAUUUGAUUAACGUUCACGCCCCCUCGAUUGGCAUAAUCUAGCACAACCAAGCACAAUGUUGAAAGAAGUAGGCGCCUCUAACACCAUCAAAAAAUAACUCUAAAUGAAGCUCCUUAGAGGUGAACUUUAUUGCUGCCCGUGUGCCAUUAUCAUGAGAACAACAUCCGUUUACUUCAAUAACAAAAAAUUAGAUCGAACCAAGUCCCUUUGAGGAGACUUGUCUAUCCCACUUCGAAGAUUAAAUCAUUGCUCGUGGAAACUACAGCUUUAGAGGGUUGAUCCCCCACUCCCCAAGUUCUGCCCAUAGUGUCACCGAUCACCGCCCUCCACCCUCUUUCUCCUCCCGACCCUUUCUCACUUUGUCUGUUCUCUGCCCCGCCCAAAAUCAUAGUUUGUAUUUCGUCUAUGUCCAUGUCAGAGGACGUUGAUUCAAAUGCCUACAUUUUUUUUUUUCGAAGACCACGAUAGAAUUAUUCUCCAAGCGUCGUAUCAAAAAUAAAUCAGUCUGCGUGUGUAUCCACUUGGUACGUUUCAUACCAAGAGAAACGUUUUUUUUUUCUUUUCCGAUUUUGUACCAAGGAUUCUUUCCCGUUCGAUCCUUGAUGACGUCAUUAUGGAACGAGCACAAAAUAUACGCAUGUCAACAACUCA